UAAUGAAUCAGAAUUCAAACUCAGGUCUGUCAAAUGCUCUUACGUGUCUGCUUAUAUUACUUUAUGAACAAAACUGUCGACUAAAAAAAGAAAGCACAACCUAACAUUGAGAAUUAUGUUUUAUUCACAGCAUUACUGAGGAUUAUAGCCUGGAAACAGCCUCACAGCUCUGAGGAACUGUUUCGAAGAGGUGAAGGAAGAGCCAGGAUAUACAGGAGUUUUUGCACAAAAAACAAAAAAACAACAGGACCAAUAUGGUGAUUUUCCAUCCUGAAUCUCCUCAGGGCGCACCAGGAGGGCUGCAGUGCCUGACAGCUUUAUGACUGCAACAUUCUUUGGUUACUGAUAUGGCAGCUCACAGGGAAACAUUCUGACCCUGCCCACCUGUGAAUGGCUGCAAGAAAGAAGAAAUUAACACAUCCCCUCCCUGAGGCUAGCUAAACCAGGAGAUGUUUUGCAAGACUUAUGGCCUUUGUACUUUACUUCCUCACCUCCUCCUCCAUCUCUGUCCUAUAAAAGAAACUAUCAUCCAGACCCCUAUAAGAUGGUACUCUAGGAUGCUAGUCUGCCAUCUUCUUG